GUCGUUUUGCUCACGCCAUUAGGUUCAAGUAAUGCAGCCGACACGCGUGGCCAACUUCAGGCUUUUUGCAUCGUCGAAUUCGGGACGGCACGCCAAUGGUUCGUCCACGACACAGGUCGCACAGAAGAAUGGCGGAAGUAAGUCCGCGAUAUUCGCUAUUGUGCUGGGGGUGGAGGACGUUUUGUUGCUGCAGACAUGUACAAUGAGAGAACCCAAGUUGCAAGCCAAGCCAAGCCAAGUCAAGGAUUGUGAUGCUGACCAAGCAGUAGAUGGCAGAUGUGGAACUGCGUACUUUUCAAAUGACCAAAUUCAUUACGUCAUCGCAGAGAUUUUAAAGUGGGUCCAGCCUGGAGUACUCUCUUUUUCGGAGUCGCUUGCAGCUAAGUGUGUUCCUGUUAGCAUUACAAUCGGCUCCUCCAAAUCACUUUAUUCUAGCUUCAGCAAACUUUGACUUUGAUGGAUUUUUAAUUCUGUGUAAGUCUUUUUAAUGUUUGAAUAUUUUUCUUGCUUGCUUGGCUUUACGUGAGUAAUUGUGUUCAACUUAUCAUCCAGCCUAAUCAUUGAAGUUUUAACUUGACCAGCGGAAAAGAACUGGGCAAUGGAGGUUUGGGCGGCCGGCAGGUUGUAUUCGAGCCUUGAUCCUCCUCCCCCUCCCCCUUUUCUAACCCUCGAACAGGGGGGGGGGUCGGUAACCUGCUGCUCUUUAGCGCUGUCCGAGUGGCUCCC